rnacentral:ncRNA from 2 species
AAGAGCCGUAUGACGGGAGACUGUCACGUACGGUUCUGUGAGAGGCUUAGGGGUGAGAUUCCCCUUUGCCUACUCGGC